rnacentral:rRNA from 1 species
GUGGGGAAUAUUGGACAAUGGGCGCAAGCCUGAUCCAGCAAUGCCGCGUGGGUGAAGAAGGCCUUCGGGUUGUAAAGCCCUUUUGUACGGGAAGAAAUCCUUUGGGUUAAUACCUCGGAGGGAUGACGGUACCUGAAGAAUAAGCACCGGCUAACUACGUGCCAGCAGCCGCGGUAAUACGUAGGGUGCGAGCGUUAAUCGGAAUUACUGGGCGUAAAGCGUGCGCAGGCGGUUUUGUAAGAUCGAUGUGAAAUCCCCGGGCUCAACCUGGGAACUGCAUUGGUGACUGCAAGGCUGGAGUGCGGCAGAGGGGGAUGGAAUUCCGCGUGUAGCAGUGAAAUGCGUAGAUAUGCGGAGGAACACCGAUGGCGAAGGCAAUCCCCUGGGCCUGCACUGACGCUCAUGCACGAAAGCGUGGGGAGCAAACAGGAUUAGAAACCCUUGUAGUCC